GCGGAUGUGGCGGAAUGGCAGACGCAUCAGACUCAAAAUCUGACGAGGGCGACCUCGUGCGGGUUCAAGUCCCGCCAUCCGCA
rfam:Clostridiales bacterium CHKCI001 isolate CHKC1 genome assembly, contig: {contig37}